UUAGGGGUUUCUGGUUUUUCAAGAAAUGAAUUUAAUUCAUACGUCUUAUUUAGAGUUUUAUUAUUUGUUUAUUUAUUUUUAUUUGGCGUUAAGAUUGGGAGGGAUUAGCUUCUUAUUUUAUUUUUAUAAUUUUUUGUUUUUUUAGUCUUGUGGGUUUUAUAGUGAUUUUCAAUUUGAUUAUGUUAAAAUUUUAUUUGUUUUAUUCUGUUAUUUUUAUUUAUUUAAUUAUUUAUUGAAAUGUAUUCUUUAUCUUUGGUUUAUGGUUAGUAAUUAUUGUAGAAUUAGUAAAUUUGUUGUUAAAUUGUUUUAUUUGUGUUAAUUUUCUUUGAGGAACUAGGCAAAUUUCAUGUCCGCCUGUUUAACAAAAACAUCUUUUCUUGUUAGUUUUUGAAGUAUGGCCUGCCCGCUGACUUUGGUGUUGAAGGGCCGCGGUAUUUUGACCGUGCAAAGGUAGCAUAGUCAUUAGUUCUUUAAUUGUGAUCUGGUAUGAAUGGCUUGACGAGGCAUGGGCUGUCUUAAUUUUGAAUUGUUUAUUGAAUUUGGUCUUUGAGUUAAAAUUCUUAGAUGUUUUUAUGGGACGAGAAGACCCUAUAGAGUUUAACAUUUGUUAUGGUCCCCUUUCUGUUUGUGAGGGUUCACUGGGCCGUUUAAUAUGUUUUGUUGGGGUGAUGGGAGGGAUUAAUUUAA
rnacentral:rRNA from 1 species